rnacentral:rRNA from 1 species
GAGUUUGAUCAUGGCUCAGAUUGAACGCUGGCGGCAGGCCUAACACAUGCAAGUCGAACGGUAACAGGAAACAGCUUGCUGUUUCGCUGACGAGUGGCGGACGGGUGAGUAAUGUCUGGGAAACUGCCUGAUGGAGGGGGAUAACUACUGGAAACGGUAGCUAAUACCGCAUAACGUCGCAAGACCAAAGAGGGGGACCUUCGGGCCUCUUGCCAUCAGAUGUGCCCAGAUGGGAUUAGCUAGUAGGUGGGGUAACGGCUCACCUAGGCGACGAUCCCUAGCUGGUCUGAGAGGAUGACCAGCCACACUGGAACUGAGACACGGUCCAGACUCCUACGGGAGGCAGCAGUGGGGAAUAUUGCACAAUGGGCGCAAGCCUGAUGCAGCCAUGCCGCGUGUAUGAAGAAGGCCUUCGGGUUGUAAAGUACUUUCAGCGGGGAGGAAGGGAGUAAAGUUAAUACCUUUGCUCAUUGACGUUACCCGCAGAAGAAGCACCGGCUAACUCCGUGCCAGCAGCCGCGGUAAUACGGAGGGUGCAAGCGUUAAUCGGAGUUACUGGGCGUAAAGCGCACGCAGGCGGUUUGUUAAGUCAGAUGUGAAAUCCCCGGGCUCAACCUGGGAACUGCAUCUGAUACUGGCAAGCUUGAGUCUCGUAGAGGGGGGUAGAAUUCCAGGUGUAGCGGUGAAAUGCGUAGAGAUCUGGAGGAAUACCGGUGGCGAAGGCGGCCCCCUGGACGAAGACUGACGCUCAGGUGCGAAAGCGUGGGGAGCAAACAGGAUUAGAUACCCUGGUAGUCCACGCCGUAAACGAUGUCGACUUGGAGGUUGUGCCCUUGAGGCGUGGCUUCCGGAGCUAACGCGUUAAGUCGACCGCCUGGGGAGUACGGCCGCAAGGUUAAAACUCAAAUGAAUUGACGGGGGCCCGCACAAGCGGUGGAGCAUGUGGUUUAAUUCGAUGCAACGCGAAGAACCUUACCUGGUCUUGACAUCCACGGAAGUUUUCAGAGAUGAGAAUGUGCCUUCGGGAACCGUGAGACAGGUGCUGCAUGGCUGUCGUCAGCUCGUGUUGUGAAAUGUUGGGUUAAGUCCCGCAACGAGCGCAACCCUUAUCCUUUGUUGCCAGCGGUCCGGCCGGGAACUCAAAGGAGACUGCCAGUGAUAAACUGGAGGAAGGUGGGGAUGACGUCAAGUCAUCAUGGCCCCUUACGACCAGGGCUACACACGUGCUACAAUGGCGCAUACAAAGAGAAGCGACCUCGCGAGAGCAAGCGGACCUCAUAAAGUGCGUCGUAGUCCGGAUUGGAGUCUGCAACUCGACUCCAUGAAGUCGGAAUCGCUAGUAAUCGUGGAUCAGAAUGCCACGGUGAAUACGUUCCCGGGCCUUGUACACACCGCCCGUCACACCAUGGGAGUGGGUUGCAAAAGAAGUAGGUAGCUUAACCUUCGGGAGGGCGCUUACCACUUUGUGAUUCAUGACUGGGGUGAAGUCGUAACAAGGUAACCGUAGGGGAACCUGCGGUUG